AUGGAUGCACAGAUGAGGCUGGUAGUUCAGAAAGCAACAAUGAUUGUUGUGAUUCAGGCAUGUGUCAUGUUCAUGCACAAGAGAGUUUUUCUUCCUGGUGAUAGACCUGUCAUGUGUUAUGCUCCAAUGUUUAUGCGAGAGCAGGAGAGGAGCGCCAAUCUGAACUACAUCUACAACUGCAAUGACACAAAGGCCCUGUGAAUGAUUCGAAUGAAAAGAGCACCAUUUGCCAGACUUGUCCAGACCUCCAGGACCAGGGGGCCGCUACGAGAUAGCAUCCACACCAGUGUGGAAGAGCAAGUGGCCAUGUUCCUCCAUAUUGUUAGCCAUAACCAGAGGUUUAGGGUUAUACACAACACGUUUAGGAGAUCAAUGGAGACCAUCUCAAGGUACUUCAAGCAAGUGCUAAGUGUUGUUGGGCAGCUCAAAGGAGAAAUGAUCAAGUCACCAACCCAGACUCCUACCAAGAUUCGCACUAGCCCAGGAUGGUAUCCAUACUUCAAGGUGAGCAACUAUAGUAUGUGUUUCAUGGCCUGA
rnacentral:rRNA from 1 species